CGAGGCGCUCCAGGCCAGCAAGGCUGGCCUUAAUUGUAAGGUAAGGAGGUUCAAAAUGAGCUUGCGCACUGCUCUGUGUGCCUAAUUAUUGAAAAAUAACUUUGUUUCAUAUUGGGACAAAAAGGAUUUUUUGGUUGCACUUUAAAGAACCUUCACAACAACAACAACAAAAAGUAAACAGUGCUUUAAAAGCCUUCCUCUCUACCUUCAGAUACCAGAGAAAUGAAUGUGUUCUCUUCACAGGGAUUGGGCAAGGGAAGACAAAAACAUACUGUCUGGCAACAGAAGACUGAUCAUACAAUGAAAGGCAGUAUACUGUAAUGGCUAAGAACAAAGUUUCUGGACUCAGAACUAACAUCAGAUCAGAUCUGCCACUUCUUGGACA